UGAUCACAUGGGAACUAAAGUCUAUACAUUUUCUUGUGGAGACUUAGAAGGCAAAUUUUGAUUUCCCUGAGGAAACCAUGGUUGGGAGGAAAAGGAAAGCUACGAUAUGAUUUAGUGGAAAUAAUGAUGGCCCUAGACUUGGGGUAUGAAGAAAUAUGAGUUCAUAUCCCACCUCUGCCACUUACCAGCUGUGUGACCAUGGCCCGAAGAGGGACUUGGAAGUAUGAGAAGAGUGGUCCUCUUAGUGCUCCGGAGAAAAAGAAAACCGUUGGCAGCUCUACACUGUGGAACAAGGUCCUUGGCAGCUCAACGCUGUGGAAACAAGAAAACUUUGAUAAACCUGUCCUGAUACUGGAAAAAGAUGUCAGAGCAUGUAUAACAACUCACAGCUUGAAUACAGAGUAUGAGAAUUCGGGGAAAGCGCAGAAGGAGCCAAUCUACAGUGACAAGUCGCCUUCCCACAUGGGGUCCAGUGAAAGCUCCCUCUCAUUGAGUGAUAAAAGACCCCUCUGAACUUGAAUUUUUAGUAAUAGUAGCUUUACUUUCUGCUCAAGUGUGUAAUGUACAGACUGCUCAGCACUGGACUUAUUUUUCCUUUUCCACCCUGGAUGCAACCUCUCACAUAUAUGGACAAAUUGGGACUAUACGUACACUAAUAACACCUGUAUAUUUGGAAGACAAGAAGAUCCCUAUCUCCAGGAUAAAGUCAAGAUUACAAUUGCCCUCAGAUCUCUAGCAUCCAGGACAUCAGUUUUUAAUACCAGUUUGUCUCAUGGAUAUGUAACUUUUAUUCAAUCUAAUACUACUUUUGAAUAGUAUGUUACUUGUGUCAAUUGUACUCUCAAACAAUGUAUUGAUAAUAAUGACUAUAUUGUAUUUUUGGUAGAACAAUCAUCAUUUGCUAU